CCUACGGGUGGCAGCAGUGAGGAAUAUUGGUCAAUGGACGAGAGUCUGAACCAGCCAAGUAGCGUGAAGGAUGACUGCCCUAUGGGUUGUAAACUUCUUUUAUAAAGGAAUAAAACGAGGCACGUGUGCCUUUUUGCAUGUACUUUAUGAAUAAGGAUCGGCUAACUCCGUGCCAGCAGCCGCGGUAAUACGGAGGAUGCGAGCGUUAUCCGGAUUUAUUGGGUUUAAAGGGAGCGUAGAUGGGUUGGUAAGUCAGUUGUGAAAGUUUGCGGCUCAACCGUAAGAUUGCAAUUGAUACUGGCAGUCUUGAGUACAGGUGAGGUAGGCGGAAUUCGUGGUGUAGCGGUGAAAUGCUUAGAUAUCACGAAGAACCCCGAUUGCGAAGGCAGCUUGCUGGACUGUGACUGACGUUGAUGCUCGAAAGUGUGGGGAUCGAACAGGAUUAGAUACCCUGGUAGUC
rnacentral:rRNA from 1 species